rnacentral:rRNA from 1 species
UACGUAGGGGGCUAGCGUUGUCCGGAUUUAUUGGGCGUAAAGAGCGUGUAGGCGGCCAGGUAGGUCUGCUGUGAAAACUCGAGGCUCAACCUCGAGACGUCGGCGGAAACCAUCUGGCUAGAGUCCGGAAGAGGAAAGUGGAAUUCCUGGUGUAGCGGUGAAAUGCGCAGAUAUCAGGAAGAACACCAAUGGCGAAGGCGGCUCACUGGUCCAUUACUGACGCUGAGGUGCGAAAGCGUGGGGAGCAAACAGG